rnacentral:snoRNA from 1 species
GCAUGUGAUGAUAUUCUACUUGGAAUCUCGUUCGUCUGAACCCCACUGUUGAGAAGUGGAAUACUGAUGCUG